CUUGAUUGUUGUAAGUGUUGCAAAUGCUUACAGCUGAAUCAUGGCUAUGUUUGUAUACUUUGUAUUUAAAAUUGUAUACAGUGUAACAUUCUUUCUUCUUCCACUGGGUAAGUAUAUUAGUACUUAGGCAAUGCAUUUUACUUCCUUUUGCAGCCCUCUAGCCCUUUCCAGGACUUUUUUAGAGCCAUUUUAGUACCCAAAAGUUUGGGUCCCCAUUGACUGCAAUGGGGUUCAGGUUCGGG